AGGUGGGAGAAGGGAGAUGGGGCAAGGACUGGGAGGAGAGGAGCAAGGGGAAACUGGGAUCAGGAUGCAAAUUACUGUAGGAAUUUAGUGGUUCUGACCACUCUAAACUGUUUUGAGCUGACAAAAGGGUUGAGGAGGAAGGCACAGCAGUCAGACUGCCUUAGGGAGGGGACGAUCUAAGGGGCCAGAGUAAUGCUUUGGUGAUGGCAAAGAUUCAGAGCCUAACAGCCAUUUGGUGGUAGCAGGUAUUUUAGGAUUGUGCCAUACCUUUGAGGUAGCUUCUGCAACAUAUAACAAACGUGACUGUUAGUAAUUCUGCUGAGAGCAUAGUUAGGAAGAUACUUGGGGCAGCUUUGCCCUUAUUAGUGAAACAGAACAGGCAAGAAAGCCAUUUAAAGAAUCCUUGGCAGGCUUCGUCUUAGGUUUUAACAAGAUUGAUGAUUUUGCUGCCACCAUUGUUCACUGUAAGAUGUAGACCAUGGAGCAGCCACUUCUCUGGCUCAAAAGAGUUUCAGGAGCCUUUCAUCAGCCAAGUUAAGUUCAGAGGUCAGCUACGAGUUUCUUUGCUGUAUCCUCAUGAGGAAGAAAUAGAGAUUUUUCCACAUUAACAUGAGUCCUAUGUAGUAUGGCAAAACAUAGUGUGUAGCUGUCUGGACAGCACACCAGAACCUUCAUAUUAGAACCACGUAGAAGGAUAAGGUCAAAUAAAUUCUCCUCUCUAUGUCCUGAUUGAUGUAAGUCAUAUUUGACAGAUCAAAUUGUAACUGUGCAAUCAGCUGCUUGUUACAUUAGACUCCUGCACGAGGAGUGAACGCUUGGAAACUUUGUAAGAGAGGUCAGUUAAUGCAGUUGUCCCAUUGUCAGUGUGUUAGCAGCAAUAGAUGUGUCUGCCCACGUGCCAGGUGUAGUGCCCAGUGGAGAUACACAGGAUGGGCCUAACCUGAGAGAAAUGUAGAUUCUCAAAACGUAGCAUUUCUCAAAAUGCUGUUUGUUAAGUCACAACAAGUCAGCAGCAGCUGAUGGGUACUCUAAAAGAGAAGUAUAUGUAUAUGUAUAUUUUAUACGAUUGUGUCACAAUGUCCAGGGACACAAUGUGGGUAUCAUGAAUAAUUUUCAAACCUGAGUUUGACAACAGGGCAUUUGGCAAUUUCCUUUAAUCAGUAAACAUGAAUGGCUAGGGUGCAGAAGGACGCACAGUAGCUAUGGGAAUGGACUUCCAGAGGUAGUGUUCUGGAGCUGGCAAACACAGCUUUUUAAAGAUUUCACUGUUUUCUUCCCCACCCUGCUGAUAGACACCUCAGUAUUGAAGAGGUAAAGAAGCCCAGAAGAGCACUGCUGAGAAUGCCAGUGUGCCAUCACCAUCGGAGUCUCACAGCAAGAGGACACAGCGGAUGCUGAAACACAAGAGUAAAUCUGCUGGUUCCAUCCAACAUUAAUCCAGUUGGAGGGAGAAGACUGCUCCCCAGACACAGAGCAACAAAAAAGAGAAAUACAAAGACAUUAUCAGGGUUAAGACAACCCCUGUACCAAGGAAAG